AAGGGCACCACAAGAACGCGUGGAGCAUGUGGCUUAAUUUGACUCAACGCGGGAAAUCUUACUGGGUCCGGACAUAUUGAGGAUUGACAGGUGAUUUGUUAAAUGUUGUAUUGAAAAAAAUAAAAAUUUAUUUUUGUUUUUUUUAAUACAUAUUUAACUUUAAAUAUGCAAGUUCUUUCAUGAUUGUGUGAUAGGUGGUGCAUGGCCGUUCUUAGUUCGUGGAGUGGUCUGUCUGCUUAAUUGCGUUUCAUGUUUGGAUUGUACUAAGACGCUUUCGUUUAAAAAAUACUUAUUUUUAUGAUAAUUAAAUACAAAAAAAAUUUAUUAAUUUGACAUAUAUGUUGUUAAUUUUUUUUGACACGUGUUUUGUCGUUAAUUAUUUUUUUUUGUUAUUUUUUUUCAUUAAAAUGUUUUUUUAUUUAACGUUUGCGCGGUACCUAAUCCCGAAGGCAACGAACGUGACCG
rnacentral:rRNA from 1 species